rnacentral:rRNA from 1 species
CCUACGGGUGGCAGCAGUCGAGAAUCAUUCACAAUGGGGGAAACCCUGAUGGUGCGACGCCGCGUGGGGGAAUGAAGGUCUUCGGAUUGUAAACCCCUUUCAUGUGGGAGCAAAUUAAAAAGAUAGUACCACAAGAGGAAGAGACGGCUAACUCUGUGCCAGCAGCCGCGGUACUACAGAGGUCUCAAGCGUUGUUCGGAAUCACUGGGCGUAAAGCGUUCGUAGGCUGUUUCGUAAGUCGUGUGUGAAAGGCGCGGGCUCAACCCGCGGACGGCACAUGAUACUGCGAGACUAGAGUAAUGGAGGGGGAACCGGAAUUCUCGGUGUAGCAGUGAAAUGCGUAGAUAUCGAGAGGAACACUAGUGGCGAAGGCGGGUUCCUGGACAGUAACUGACGCUGAGGCACGAAGGCCAGGGGAGCGAAAGGGAUUAGAUACCCUGGUAGUC